rnacentral:lncRNA from 1 species
UAGUGAUUAAAAGUAUAUAUCCUGUUUCAGGCUUUUUUUUUUUAAUGUGGAUUCUGGAUUUCAAUUUCAGAUCCUCAUAUAAUAAGCAUCUUGGCACUCCACAUUGCCAAUAGCCUAUACAUUUUGAUUAUAUACCUAGUAAUAAAUGGAGAAAUACAUAAGACAAAAAAUAUGCAUAGCAUACCAUGCCUCAAUAGUCACAAUUCUGGGUAUCUGAUAAUAUAGAGUGAUUAUAAAAGUAUAUGGUCAACUGUAUAAAAUUUUUGGUACAAAUACUUUGAUUGUUGGCAAGAGAUUGAAAGAUUUUUUUCAUUUCUAGAGGAAAUGGAUAUGGAAAACCAGAUACCAAUAUAGAGCAAUGUGUAUGUAGAAACACAGGAUGCUUCAUUUAUCUUGGAGAAUCCAAGGUGCAAAGUUGUAUCCAUAACAAAAUAACCUUUAUGUGACUUUAAACAUAUAUAAAUGUGACCAGAGCUGGAAACUCCCCAGAAGUCCACAGAGAGCUCAUCACAAAUUGAUCCUGCCCCUUGAGAUUUAAAAUCCAAGACUCAAAGAAAGACUCAGGCUGAUCUUUAACAGGACAGUGAACCUCUGUGCAAACAGUCUGUCUACAGCAGGGAAAUGUGCGUUUUCUUUAGUGCACAAACCAGUCCCAGACUCAAACCAGGAAGCAGGUACCAUAUGAGUUGGAAGUGAAGAACAGUUGUUAACUGGAGUCAGUGUGAGCUACAGCCUGCUCUCCUCUGUCCAGAGUGUGUUCAGCAGUCAAGGGAUGGCAGCUUUAAUAUAGCCACAGCCCAGUGUGGGAAGAUUGAUAUCUGUACCACAUUUUUUCCUUCCUUUGUCUGCAAUGUGGUAUUCUCUCCAUGCUCAGCAUCUUUCUCUUUUCAUACAGUAUUCAGAGCAGAAAUAAGCUGGUAGCUAAAGAUCACAAAUUCUAUUUUAUCCACAAAAAGUAUUUUAUAACUAUUUUUCUAUCAUAAACAGUACAGUUAUAUUUCAAGAAGUCCUAAAAUCAACAAAUAGUAGAGUUAACAUAUUGUAUUAUUGCUAGGUAAUACAUUAGUAUUUUCUUUUUUAAUAAUAUUUUAAAUUUACACUUUGAAAAUUUUGUGCUUGUGGACAAUGUGUCUUCACUGUGUCCACCCUCAUUCCUUCCUUUUUUUUCCCCAACAUCCUUCCAGAACAUGUCAGCAUGUAUUCCUCUUAAUUUAAUUAGUUAGUUAGUUAGUUAGUUAGUUAGUUAGUUAGUUUUAACCCAUUGAGUUCAGUUAGUGUAAUCCAUACACAUAAGGUCAUUCAGUAGGGUAUGGGCAUCCUACUAAUUGUGACCUACCAAAGGAAAGGGGAUCUCCCUGCCCUGGCAGGCAUAAUUUACCAGUAGCUCCUCAGCAUAGGAUUGGGCCUCAGAAGCUUAAUUUCAUUUUCUUAUGUUCCUUGCCUGUUCAGCUAUAUAUGAACAAUGAGUUAUGGUCAUAUUUUCUCCCAUUGGCACCUAUUGCCUUCUUUUCUCCCUUACAAAACCCUUUCCUCUUCCCAAGAGUCCCCUUCCUGCAAUGGCGCUCUCUCUCUCUCUCUCUCUCUCUCUCUCUCUCUCUCUCUCUCUCUCUCUCUCUCUCUCUCUUCGCUCUCUCCCUCCCCCUCCCUCCCUCUCUGUCUCUUCCCUCACAAUCUCUCUUACACACACACACACAAACACAUCAUGUACAUCUCUCUUUAUAUAUUAAUAUAUCUUUAACUCUCUCCCCAUUCUCAUUUUAAUUACAUUAUUACCUUUUUUAUUUCUUAAACUAUUCGCUUCCAUAUCAUAAGACUGGUGAUGUUUUAGGACAUAGUAAGACAUUAUGGGGUAGACUGAAUUUACUGUCACAGCUAGACUGGCUCAAUCCAGUUAGUGAAUGAAGACAUAAGAGAAAGGCCUGUGCAUCUUUAUGUGUAACUGGAGAUAAAGGGUAUUUUUGUGUACUAUUCUGUUAAUAUGGAGUUAUGUAUAAGGAAGCAAGCAUGUAAACAUCUAUGUCUCAACCAUCACGUUUCUGUUUAUACAAUGCUAUGAAUAAAUUAUAAUAUUUCAAGUGUUGUUCAAUGCUGGUAGGGGACUUGAGUAAAAAUUGGUUUCUUUACUGGAUAUAUAGAUAUGGAGGAAGUACUAUGCAUCAUUUAUGAGGACUAGACAAGGUAAGCAAACAAACAUGAGGUAUUUCACUUCCUUGAGCUCAGGGGUAAAGUGUAAGAGACAGAAAUUCAUUCAGAGUAGAGGAACAUCUGAGUUAUUUUAUGUACACAAGGUGCCUCACAGAGAAAAUUAUAGCUAAAUUAUGAUAAGGCAUUUGUGAUCUUGAGGUUUUCAGCCAGACUUAGAAAAGGCCAAGCUUACUUUUUAAUUAAAAUAAAAUUAGUAUACAAAAACAUGUUUCAGAAUGACACUUUUCCCUUACAUGUAUGUGCAACAUUAAAUGUUGUUCUUAUUUGAAACUCCCCUGUCCCGUUUCUUGUCCUCCAUAUUCUCACCCCUUCCUCCUACCAACACUUCCUCUUACUUUCUUGUUGUACAUAUCCCAUAACAUUCUCAUGCUUUCCACUGCCCUUUCCUGUCAUCUCAUAUUCUUUUGACUGCUUUCAUGGCAAUUCUACAUGUGAGAGAAUAUUUUUCUGUGUAUAAGUAAAAACAUAUUUCAUAUUUUCUUUCUGAUAGUAUUUUCCCAUAAUGAUUUCUAGUUUUAAAUACUUUUCAUUCUUAUUUACAACUGAACAUAAUUCUACCGCAUAUAUGCAGUAUACGGGUCUUUUCCUUCAUCUGUUGAUGGAGUGCUAGCUGUUUUCUAUAUGCUGCCUUUGUGAACAGUAUAG